rnacentral:lncRNA from 1 species
GGGGGUGGAGCGGUUGAGGGUGUGAGCGGGAUUAGAGAAUGAAGCCAAGGGAAGGUAAAUCUCGGAGAAGCCAUGAAGGGAUAGGUUGGAGUCUUGUUGUUGUGAGAAGAGUUUCUUGGGUUUGAGUUGAGUGGAAAGGGAGGAUUCAGGGGAUGGGCGCUUCAUGGUGCUGGUGGGGGUGGAGGCAGGGGCGCUGUCGUUGGAGACCGAGGAGACGGUGGAGGAGAAGCUGCAGCC